rnacentral:rRNA from 1 species
AUUGAACGCUGGCGGCAGGCCUAACACAUGCAAGUCGAACGAGUGGCGGACGGGUGAGUAAUGUCUGGGAAACUGCCUGAUGGAGGGGGCUCACUACUGGAAACGGUAGCUAAUACCGCACACCAUCCGAUGUGCCCAGAUGGGAUUAGCUAGUUGGUGUGGUAACGGCUCACCAAGGCGACGAUCCCUAGCUGGUCUGAGAGGAUGACCGGCCACACUGGAACUGUGACACGGUCCAGACUCCGCCGGGAGGCAGCAGUGGGGAAUAUUGCACAAUGGUCGCAAGCCUGAUGCAGCCAUGCCGCGUGUAUGAAGAAGGCCUUCGGGUUGUAAAGUACUUUCAGCGGGGAGGCGUGACCCGCAGAAGAAGCACCGGCUAACUCCGUGCCAGCCGCCGCGGUAAUUC